rnacentral:rRNA from 1 species
GACGAACGCUGGCGGCGUGCUUAACACAUGCAAGUCGAGCGAUUCUCUUCGGAGAAGAGCGGCGGACGGGUGAGUAACGCGUGGGUAACCUGCCCUGUACACACGGAUAACAUACCGAAAGGUAUGCUAAUACGAGAUAAUAUGCUUUUAUCGCAUGGUAGAAGUAUCAAAGCUUUUGCGGUACAGGAUGGACCCGCGUCUGAUUAGCUAGUUGGUGAGGUAACGGCUUACCAAGGCGACGAUCAGUAGCCGACCUGAGAGGGUGAUCGGCCACAUUGGAACUGAGACACGGUCCAAACUCCUACGGGAGGCAGCAGUGGGGAAUAUUGCACAAUGGGCGAAAGCCUGAUGCAGCAACGCCGCGUGAGCGAUGAAGGCCUUCGGGUCGUAAAGCUCUGUCCUCAAGGAAGAUAAUGACGGUACUUGAGGAGGAAGCCCCGGCUAACUACGUGCCAGCAGCCGCGGUAA